rnacentral:rRNA from 1 species
AUUGAACGCUGGCGGCAGGCCUAACACAUGCAAGUCGAACGAGAGGCGGACGGGUGAGUAAUGUCUGGACAACUGCCCGAUGGAGGGGGAUAACUACUGGAAACGGUAGCUAAUACCGCAUACCAUCGGAUGUGCCCAGAUGGGAUUAGCUAGUAGGUGGGGUAACGGCUCACCUAGGCGACGAUCCCUAGCAGGUCUUAGAGGAUGACCAGCCACACUGGAACUGAGACACGGUCCAGACUCCUACGGGAGGCAGCAGUGGGGAAUAUUGCACAAUGGGCGCAAGCCUGAUGCAGCCAUGCCGCGUGUAUGAAGAAGGCUUUCGGGUUGUAAAGUACUUUCAGCGGGGAGGCGGUACCCGCAGAAGAAGCACCGGCUAACUCCGUGCCAGCAGCCGCGGUAAUUC